rnacentral:tRNA from 1 species
UCGGUAGCUCAGUUGGUUAGAGCGCCAGCCUGUCACGCUGGAGGUCGAGAGUUCGAGCCUCUUCC